CCUACGGGUGGCAGCAGUGGGGAAUAUUACACAAUGGGGGAAACCCUGAUGCAGCGACGCCGCGUGAGCGAUGAAGUAUUUCGGUAUGUAAAGCUCUAUCAGCAGGGAAGAAAAUGACGGUACCUGACUAAGAAGCCCCGGCUAACUACGUGCCAGCAGCCGCGGUAAUACGUAGGGGGCAAGGGUUAUCCGGAUUUACUGGGUGUAAAGGGAGCGUAGACGGUCCUGAAAGCCAGAGGUGAAUGCCCGGGGCUCAACCCCGGGACUGCAUUUGGAACUGUAAGGCUAGAGUGUCGGAGAGGCGGGCGGAAUGCCUAGUGUAGCGGUGAAAUGCGUAGAUAUCUGGAGGAACAUCAGUGGCGAAGGCGACUAUCUGGCACAUAACUGACGCUGAGGAGCGAAAGCGUGGGUAGCAAACAGGAUUAGAUACCCGAGUAGUC
rnacentral:rRNA from 1 species